rnacentral:rRNA from 1 species
UACGUAGGUGGCAAGCGUUGUCCGGAAUUAUUGGGCGUAAAGCGCGCGCAGGUGGUUUCUUAAGUCUGAUGUGAAAGCCCACGGCUCAACCGUGGAGGGUCAUUGGAAACUGGGGAACUUGAGUGCAGGAGAGAAGAGUGGAAUUCCACGUGUAGCGGUGAAAUGCGUAGAGAUGUGGAGGAACACCGGUGGCGAAGGCGGCUACCUGGACAGAAACUGACGCUGAGGCGCGAAAGCUAGGGGAGCAAACAGG